AAUCUCUGAAUCAUUGAGAGGGCAUUCCAGGCGUCGCUGAGAACAAUACUGAUAUCAUUAAUCAACAAUGAGUGACCGUGACGUUCCUGCGUAUUACUAGGGCAGUGUCCGAGGAACUUGAAACCCUUGAAAACGCUGUCAGUGCUUCGGGCUUCAGGCGAAACUGCUCAAUUUCGUAUUAUUGAGCGAAAGCUUGUGGUAACCCCCCUCCCCCCGUGCGCGCUGAGCCCGUUCGGCAAGAAACUCAUGCAGCUUGCCAAGUCAUGGGGACGUAGGUUGAACGAGGCGUUCAUGGACAGCAGCUGGCGGAUCCUUUUGACGAGAACGGACGUCUCGACUUGAUUCUUGGGCAGGCCCCAGUUGUCCAACCACCCGGUGUACAUCUCCGAGUUCAUCAGGGGGCCCGCCGCCUGAUGUACGGGCCUGGGCGGAGGAUGACCAUGAAGCCGAGUCUGUGGGCGAGCCGCAGGAAGCGGGCCAGGUCCUGUUGACCCUCGAAGUCGUACUGGCCAUCCUCGGGCUCAUGGCUGCUCCACUCGACGUAGC